AACGAACGCUGGCGGCAUGCCUAACACAUGCAAGUCGAACGAGACCUUCGGGUCUAGUGGCGCACGGGGGCGUAACGCGUGGGAACCUGCCCAUAGGUUCGGAAUAACUCCCCGAAAGGGGUGCGAAAACCGGAGAAAGUAUUCGGACCAAAGGUAUAUCGCCAUUGGAGGGGCCUGAGUGGGAUCAGCAGGUUGGGAGGGUAAACGGCUACAAAGGGGACGAUGCAUAGCUGGUCUGAGAGGAUGGUCCGCCACUCUGGUGCUGAGACACGGCCCAGAAUCUUACAGGAUGCAGCAGUGGGUAAUAUUGGACAGUGGGCGAUGGCCUGAUCCAGCUCUGCCGCGUGAGUGAUGAAGGCCGUAGGGUUGUAAAGCUCUUUUACCCGGGAUUAUAUUGACAGUACCGGGAGAAUAAGCUCCGGCUAACUCCGUG
rnacentral:rRNA from 1 species